rnacentral:rRNA from 1 species
GUCCACACAGUAAACGAUGAUGACUCGCUGUCGGCGAUACAAUGUCGGUGGUCAAGAGAAAUCGAUAAGUCAUCCACCUGGGGAGUACGACCGCAAGGUUGAAACUCAAAGGAAUUGACGGGGGGCCCGCACAAGCGGAGGAACAUGUGGUUUAAUUCGAUGAUACGCGAGGAACCUUACCCGGGGCUCGAACGGCUGGUGAACGACAUAGAGAUAUGAAGGUCCUUCGCGACGCCAGUCGAGGUGCUGCAUGGUUGUCGU